UACGAAGGAUCCAAGCGUUGUCCGGAUUUACUGGGUUUAAAGGGAGCGUAGGCGGACUUUUAAGUCAGUGGUGAAAGCUUCCCGCUUAACGGGAAAACUGCCAUUGAAACUGAGAGUCUCGAGUAUGGUUGAGGUUACUGGAAUGUUGCAUGUAGCGGUGAAAUGCUUAGAUAUGCAACAGAAACACCAAUUGCGAAGGCAGGUAACUAAGCCAUAACUGACGCUGAGGCUCGAAAGCGUGGGGAGCAAACAGG
rnacentral:rRNA from 1 species